AAUUUGGCUUUAAGAAGCGACCGCCGAGAAUCCCGCCCGUCAUUCUACGUUUCACGCCGCCGCCGCCCGUGUCGGCUGUGCCUCCGCAUCCUGCAAUACAUGCUCUGGCAGCGACGUUAGGCGCGGUGUCUACCACUUCACCAACCACGGAACCAUAUAGAUUCCGACAGCCAUGGGUUCCGCCGCUGGCUCCUGAUGUAAGGUGUGCUUCGAAGCUUUUAAGUCGCGGCUGCUCUACUUAUGGCCUGGACUUCUGCAAGUGUUGUUGCGGGACUCUUUUGCUCCGGAAUUCUCGCACGGCCCAUUGGAGCUCCCGGAAUACGUAUGCGACGCGCGGCGGCCAUUCCAUCCGUUCUCACGCACGAGCUGUCUCGUCUGACGCUAACGACGUCUCGAGCCGUUGCUGCCGAUAAGUUUCAAGUCGCGCCUGCCGCGGUCUUUUCUUUUGUGCGCGUUUCCGCGAACUGACCGUGCCAUUUAACCGAGGGACAACGAAGAAACUGUCGUCGCCACGUGUCUCAACUACCUUACAAGGUGAAGCUCGUGCAACGAAGUGACCGUGGCACUACUUUGAAGGACAACGCAGCAACUGUCGUCGCUACGUAGCUUCGGCAGCUAACUCACGAGAGCGGCACUGAAGAACGGACGUUGCCUUCGGUCCGCAGCGCGGCGCGUUGCGGCUAAAGUAGGUGUCACUUUUUCUAUUUGUGCCACGCUGUUUUCGUCGCUCGACACACGGAACAUUUUUGUCGAGUUCAUCGACCACGGGUCGCGCGACGACGCUUGUAAUGGUGAGCACCUACUUUCUGGUUAUAUUCCUUCCUUGAAAAGUUGCCCCUUUUUAGUUCCGGGUACGCAGCCCAGGCCUUCGCGUCUGGCGCACUCCAGCAACGUCCCCUGUGCCCUGCCGUGUCCCAGGCGGAUGACGUUCAGCGCAUGUCGUUCCGGGGCUCACCACCUGUGCCUCAGCUCCAGCCUCGCAGCCACUGGCUUCUAGCUGCAGCAGAAACCUGCACUGCCCGCCCUGCAGUACGUCGACUGCGAUUUCCUCUGCCCUGCCGUGUCCCAGGCGGAUGUCGUUCAGCGCAUGUCGUUCCGCGGCUCACCACCUGUGCACUCAGCUCCAGCCUCGCAGCCACUGGCUUCUAGCUGCAGCAGAAACCUGCACUGCCCGCCCUGCAGUAAGUCGACUGCGAUUUCCCACAACGGAGUUUCCUCUGCCGUGUCCCAGGCGAAUGUCGUUCAGCGCAUGUCGUUCCGGGGCUCACCACCUGUGCACUCAGCUCCAGCCUCGCAGCCACUGGCUUCUGGCUGCCGCAGAAACCUGCACUGCCCGCCCUGCAGUACGUCGACUUCGAUUUCCCACAACAGUCUCCUCUGCCCUGCCGUGUCCCAGGCGAAUGUCGUUCAGCGCAUGUCGUUCCGCGAUUCGCCGCCUGUGCACUCAGCUCCAGCUUCACAGCUACGCCAGUGGCUUCCUGCCAAAUUAAGAAACCUGUACUACCGGCCCUGCAGUAUGUCGACUGCGCUCUGCAACCCUCCUCUUGACAUCCGCUGCCAGUCAAGAUCUGUCUCCCCUGCCUAGUAGGCGAUGACGCCUAAUGCUGGCCGCAGUACGGCAGGCCUUGCUCUUGCGACUGUUCAACACCCUGCUACACCCAACGAUGUUGAGCUGCAGGAAUAAUACCUCUCUGCGUGCUCCGUGCUGCCUCGAGGACGGUGCACAACUACGGAGUGAUGAUGCGAACACCGACCUCGACAUCCUUGCAAAACAGCUUCCCGCCCUGUAUACUAUACUAUAGCUGCAUCAUGGCCGCUCAUUGAAGACUCAUAUUGAGAGCACGUGGCUGUUUGAUGACCUGAUCAAACAAUUAUAGAUAUCGCGCUGGCUCAUCUGUGGUACACUGCUCAGGGUCUAGCAUUCGGUUUGUCUGCGGGAUUCUUGCUCGUGCACGUUAACAUUCUGUGCUCUCGUAAUGGUACGCUGAUGCUGGUUUGCGUUGCGAAGUAGCACGCGCAUGUGUUCGUAUGAGCAUGCGAGUGUGUUGCUGCAUGUAUGUUCUCUAUUGUACGCGCGUGCUACUUCGCUUAUUUUAUCUGGUGGUUGUCAUUAUUUUAGCUCGGGUGUGUCCUCACUUCCAUGCAAUUUUUGGUGGCUUGUUUCGUUCAAUCGGUGAAUUCCUUCAUAAAGGUCAUUGAUGAUUUCGUAGUGAUGGUGGCCAAUCUUCUCGGAAACCCAUCCAACUUCGGCACUGGGCAUUCCCCUUACUUGAUGUCCAGUCGUCCACUCGUAGAUUUGUCCAUGGCCUUGUCAUAUUGUUUUCUACUCGACGGGGUCUGUUGGUACAUUUUCCUUAUCCACUUCUUUCUCAAUUGAUCAGUUCAUCAUGGCUAAUGCGAUACAUCAGCGUACCAUUACAAAAAGCGCAUGGUGUGAAUUAAAGGCAAUAGAGCAUCUACGUUCGAUUGUGAGGAUCACAAUUAUGUGAGCUUAUCCUUUAUCUGGUACUGGCAUGGUACCAAGCUCAUUUUUCAAACUUGUCCGCUUUCAUUAAUCACGUGAGCGGUAAAGCUGCGUACAACUCCACAGCAAAGCAAAGCAGCUCCUGAAUCUCCCUUCAGCAACAUUGAACAUUGAUCACAUACCACCACCACAGAUGCCUGCGGUGUUAAGACUUCAUCAAACUGCUUCAUCACCUUUUGUCCUUGAAUGUUCGCUGCCCUGUGUAAAUUUACCUACUUGCAUUGUUGUCCAUCACUAUAACAUGUAUUUGCUGAACCAUGUUCACUGCAACUCAAUAAAAUGGCAAAGGCUUUUUGUUUUUA